UACGGGGGGGGCAAGCGUUGUUCGGAAUUACUGGGCGUAAAGGGCUCGUGGGCGGCCAACUAAGUCGGAUGUGAAAUCCCCAAGCUUAACUUGGGAACUGCAUCCGAUACUGGAUGGCUUGAAUCCGGGAGAGGGAUGCAGAAUUCCAGGUGUAGCGGUGAAAUGCGUAGAUAUCUGGAGGAAUACCGGUGGCGAAGGCGGCAUCCUGGACCGGCAUUGACGCUGAGGAGCGAAAGCUAGGGGAGCAAACGGG
rnacentral:rRNA from 1 species